UACACUCUCUCUCUCUCUCUCUCUCUCUCGCGCACACUCUUAUACGUACAGAAGAACGCACAAACACAAACUGACACGCACGCAAGAAUGGUAACUUAGUUUACCUGUAAAGGAAGGAUUGAUUCAUUGCGAAUUUCUUUUUUCCUCUUAGGGUUAGGGUUUCCUUUUAGUUCUUUACUUCUUUUGAUUAUCCCUUUGUUAUGAGAAACUAAUGUUCUUCUGCGAGUAUUACUGGGUUCGAAUUGAAAGAAAUACUGAUGGCAUGAUUUAUUACUGAACAGAAGCCCUUUCUUUCCAAAAUUUGACGGAAAUUGUCAUGCUUGGGAUUCUUAUCGGACCCUUGAAACUUCUUAAUGUUGUUAUUAAUCCAUAGUGCGAAAUUUUGGGUUUUCUGAUGCUUCUUAUAAUACUCUCUUUUUUUUGGUGGUUUUUUUUGGGGGGGGGGGGGGUCGCUAUAGGUACCAAGUGAAGCAUGGCAUCUCGUAUAGGUGGCGGUGAAGGAGAAGUUUUCGAAGUCACGCAGCAGGACCUGGAAUUGUUUACGGAUAAUUUUAGUCAGAACAAUCACAUUGCCAAGGCCCAGUAUUGCGAACUGUAUCAUGGAAGGAUUCCUCAAGGUUGGAAAGGGUUUGAAGCCCGUGAUGUUACGGUUAAGGUGUGGGUAAAAGCUGCUGAAAUGAGUCAUAAGUAUCGGGUGGAAGCUUUGUAUCAAGAUCUUCUUGAGAAUUUUAAUGUAUGUUCCUCUGUUUUCUAUUCUUCGGCAAUUUCCUUUCAAUAUCGGCUGUUUGACAAUGUGUCAACUUCUGGGCAAAUUCAUAAGUUACUGUGCUUUUGCAGUACGAGAUUACUUUUCUGAAGCAUCAUAAUUCAACCACUUCCAACUUGCCAGUGUUGAUGGCAUUUUGUCGGGUUGAUGAAAAGGAGAUGCUGGGCGUUAUUUAUGAUCUUAAGUCCAUGAAUACACUUCGCGACUUUGUUGAUAAAGGUAUACAUUUGCCUUUAUUUGGACCCUAUCUUAGUAUUUGUGUUGGUAUUUUAAAAAUGUGAUACCUUGGGGAGUGGUCAUACAGGGAAAAUCUAACCAUCGAUUCUUUUUGAAGCUACGUGAGCUAAGCAUCAAAAGUUAUAAUUGGGGACUUUUAGUGCUCAAAAGUUGAACAUAGGAUAUUGAAAAAAAAAAACACCAUUUUAAUGCCGUUAAAUAGCAUACCUGAACUACCUAAAAAUUGCAUAAUUUUGGACUAGGCUCAUGUAGCUUAUUGCAUUUGACAUAGGAGCAAUAGAACAGCGAUUGAGCUUUUGUACUCUGUGCACUUUUUUGGCCACAACUUAUGCGUUUUGACUCAUGUCACAAUCUCUUUGCAAAUGCUCCUAGGAGAGUUUAAAUGGCUUGACAGAAUCCAAGUAGCUGUUCGACUUGCUCGUCUUCUGGAACUUUUGCAUGGUUAUCAGCCUAGAUAUUUGGUCCGUGAUCUUUCAGCAGCCCACAUCAUGCUUGACCAGGUUAGUAAAUUCUUGAGACACGAACUACUUCGACCAUAAGUUCCCUGAGUAGUAUGGCUGUUUGGUUGCUAUUUUGAUGUUUACGUCUCUUUUGGCAAUUAGGAUUUGAACCCUGUCUUGUUCAAUUUUUUCAUGCUGACUGGUGGAGUUAUUGGUGAGAAGAAGGAUGACACGCCGUUUCAACAGAAUCGUACUCUUUUUGGAUCUUAUGGCUACAUUGAUUUUGCUUAUGUUAUGACAGGUAUGUUCAUUUGGGUCUUAAAAGUACUCAAUGAGUUUGAAUUUUACUGUAGAUUAUGGAAGGACAGAUGAGGAUUUUAAACACAGCAUUAACCAAUUUUUUACUGCUAUUGUAGCUGUCUAGGUUUGAAAAGAAUUGGCAACUAAGUGAAGCUCUCCUAUGUCCUUAGGAGCUUAUUAUUUUUUCCUUUUGCCUUUUUUAACAUUUUUUUUCAAAAAUUAAACAUUUUGGACAAGAUUGCCUUGUCAUAUUGUGAUUUGAAUGUUUCAUUCUGUUUUUGCUUUGUGGUUGAACUGUACCCUUGGAGAGUUUGUAGUAUCAUGACAUUUCCUUCAAUGAGCUUUUAGAGGAAAGAGUGCUUUCUUCUUCUUGAGAAACUAUUGCUUAAAUGUUUGUGAGAUUUAAACUUCAUAUUAUCCUUCUCUGCAUUGGACUUUAGAUAUGUAGGAACUUAAUAUUAGUCUUAGGAUUCUAGUCUUGUAUGCAUUGAAAAAGUUCAGGCUGUUCGAUAUCAAAUUAGAAGUUGUCUUCCCUCCAUGCAAAAGCUGGUUUUCAUACAAUUCCUGGAAAAGGCUAGGUGUUUUGAGGAUCUGUUGAAUUAAUGAAUUAUAUCUCCCCUACAUUUCCCCCCUAUAUUAUGUGCGUUUCUCUCAACAUUAUGUACAUGGGAAGUUUCAGUGUGUUUUUUUUUGUCAAAUUAGAAAUUGUUAGUUCUCUGUCAUAAAGCUAGUUUAAAUGUGAAAUCGUGAGAGGGCAAAUGGUCGUAAGAAUUUCUUGCAAUAAUUUUGUGUAAACUAUCUCCCCUUCUCAUGUCUUGAAUAAUUCAUAACAAAUGGUGACUGUAGUGAUAUAUCCAAUUGCUGUAUGUAUGAAGGACAAUUAACAUGCAUUAAAUAGGAACUGGAAAAUGUUGUUAUUAUUAUUAUUUUUAGCUGGAAUAUGUUAUUCGGUAAUCUGCUGUAAAAGUCACUGUAUGGAGUAAGAUGGCUGCCUAAUGGGUUUAUAAUAAUCUAUUACAGUGAUAAUUCAACUGUUCUGUUUUUCAGUCUAUCAUCCGUGGUAUAUGUUUACUUGCCAAAGAACAAUUUUGUUUUGACAUUUUCUUGUUAAGCAUGAACAUGAGCCAAUUUUUCAAUACACCACAGGAUGUGGUUUUUGGAUCCUAUUUGGUCUAUCAUUAUUGUUCCAACAGGAUUUAUUAGAUCACAGUGUUAUCACUCUAUUAUCAUGAUGUAAACCUGGAAAUGGAGGAAGGAAAAUGAGAUCCAUAUGUUUGAUAGUGUAUUCCUUCAAAAUGAAUAAGAUGAGUUGAGUGUCACUAAAUCUGCAUGACUUUGUUAUGUGCAACUUGUCCUAGGCUGUAAAAGGAGUCAAAAUGCUCCCGUUGAUUUUGAUGCGGAUGAAAUUAUGUAGCUAAGUUUGUUAUUUGCUGGGCUGCAGGUCUGCAAAUGCCUUUUUGAUCUCAUUCUUGUUUUUUUCCCUUUAAAUGUAUAUUUAAUGUUUAACAAUCCUUUGGAUUCUGUAUUUGCUUUUUAAUGUCUGAAAUACCUGAUUGUGGUUUUCCUCGUGAACUGGGGUAAGAAAUGCGAUUGAUUUCAUUUGAGAUUAUCAUUCGCUGUUACAACAUUUGAUUGCCUUGCACUUACAGGCUCAAGCGUUUUUGGUCAAAAUUAAUAACGAUCUGUUGAUGACAGUUGAAAGGAAAAUUUCUCAAGUGGUGGAUAGUUAUUAAAAUCUGAAAAGUUUGUGAUGACAGAUCUUUGGGUGAAUUUUGGUUGAUGCAACUCACAGGAUUUAGACUAUCAGAAAUGUUAAGAGUGAAACGUUCUGGUAUUAGAAACUUGUGACGAUCAGGUGCUGAAAUGUUAAGAGUGAAGCUUAAGAGGCAGUACUGGUCAAUGCUGCUUUCUUUUUUUCUUUGGCCCCCAUGGUUUGUUUGGGUGUUGUUGAAGGCCCUGAGGUCCGAGUUAUAGUGAAAAGUUCUUUUACUGCCUUUGUAAUUGUUGUAGAAGGGUUUCGUUGUGCUCUAAUGAUCGUCUAAUUUUUUUUCAUGCACUCGUUCACUUCGAUGUCUCUCUACUGAUUAGACUGAGGUCUUUAUUAUGCAGUCUCUGUGUCACCUUGUUCUUCUACAAUUUGAUUUCUGUUGGUCCUUCCUGGUCUGUGCUUUUUGGAUUGAGAAGUCAUUUUGGUCCUUCCUGGUCCUCGGUUUGGCUAAUAAGCCUUUGCAGAGUGUGGUUCAUUGUGGAGUAGUGUGUACACUAGUGCUGGAAUAGUCUAAGUUUUCAAUUCCAGUUGAUAUUUGUUUCUUCGCAUAGGAAUUAUGGUGAUGAACAUUAAACAGGAAAAUAGUGCAGAUGAAAUUUGACCUGGUAUUAAUGUUUAGUAGUCCCUUGCUAUUUAAAGGAUUAUUUUGUUGUUAUCUCCUGCAGGUGUUUGGUGUGAAGCAACAGAUAUUUUUGCUCUGGGAGUCAUUCUUUUGGAGCUCCUGUUCAAACUUACUGUUGAUCAUCACAUAGAUGAAAAGACGGGGGCAUGGAUAUACCUUCACCUUGAUGCUGUUAAUCUCUACCCAUUGAAGAAAUCAAGAUUUUCCUUGAAGGAAAGAAAAUGCUCCUUUGCUGACAAAAGUUUCGAGGAAGAACCUGAAUUCAAUCUUCGUGAUGGGCAGAAAAUCUCAAAGUUGGCUAGGCUUUGUGUGGAUGGAGAUUUGAGAAUCCGUCCGUCCACGAAAAACGUUGUGGGGAAGCUGCAGGAGCUUCAAAAAGUGAAGUUCAAAAAGUGAUAGACAAAUGUUAACCCAAAUCCCUUCCUCAAGUUUUGUAUAUGGUAUUUCGUUUGUUGUAACCGCUAUAGUUGAGACUGCAUUAAAUAGAAGCUUCGGAUUUAAUUCCCUCUUAUUCUCUGCUCACUUCUUAAAUUUCAUUCUUUUUUUUUUUUUACAUAUUAAAAAAGGUGAAAUUAGUUGAAAAACAAGAUACUUGACCGAAAGAACCCUAAAAAAAUUGUGGAACUUUUCAAGAAAAAAAAAAAAAAAAAGCCCUCCGACUUGCUUAAUUAAAUAUUUGUUUGACUUCACAUCUUCAUUUUGAAAAGUGAAAAUUUUAUACAUUGAAAAGUUGGUAAAAAUGAUUUAAAAGGAAUGUCUUUGUGAGAUUUUUUUUUCUUCGCAAAGUAAAAGUCGUUCAUUGAAUACUCUAUAUUAAAACUAAUGCAUUAUCAAAUAUAAAAGUUAAGAGCAUAUGACCAAAAAUGAUUUCAAAAAAGUAUUCAUUGGUUACCAAUCAUUCAAGUUAAUAUAAGGAGGGGGAUUGAGUUAGGUAGUAAGUUGGGAGAAAUUAUAAGAAGGAGGUAUUGGAUUCGAGAUCUCCCAUUUAUAAAAAAUAAAUUUAAAAAAAACUAUGGAAAAUAGUUGGAUUAGAUGGUAAUGUAGGAAAGGAAGGAUUGUAAAUAAGAGAUUUUCAGUUCAAAUACUCUCACUUAAAAAAAAAUUAAUAUAUUCUUAAAAAAACAAAAUGAGAAGUUGGGAAUAGGGCUGCAGACGCGAGUCGGGCUCGAGCCAAGUAAGUCGAACUCGAGCUCAAACUAAAGUUCAAAAAUAUCAAACUCGUUAGUUCGCAAGCUCGAUUAUACAUUUUUAUAAAUUUUUAUUUUAAUAAUAAAAUUACAUAUAUAUCCCUAAUAUUUUUAUUAUUUGUUACAAAAAUUAUUAUUUUAUUCAUUUUUAAAAAUUAAAUAAUUAUUUUUUACUUUUUAAAAAUAAAUUAUUUAUUAUUUAUUAUUUUUUUAAGCUCGAGUUCGAGCUCGACUGAUAAUGUGGCAAUUUGUAAGUUGCAUGAAUAUGGGGACUGAGUAAGCCUUAAUUAUAUAAAGAUGGUAAUGUAGUUAAUUAACUAAAAAUAUUUUUGUAACAGAUACCCAUUGGAUACUUAUUAACACAUCCAAAUCACAUAUAAGUUUAGAGUAAAUCUUAUAUAUACUGACAGUGUAUACACUAUCACCGUUUGAUUCAUGACAUGUGUACAAAAGUUGAACUUCGAAUUUAAAUUUUGCAUAAUUGUCGUUUAUCCAACGCUGAUGGUGUAUACAUUGUCAAUGUAGGAAAUAUUAAUUCAUAAGUCUAUAUUACUACGCAUAUUCACAAUUAACGCACCUCCCACAUUUAAACACUUUUGUGACUUAAUUACAUUUUUUAAAACACUUUUGUGAUUUAAUUACAUUUUUUUUCAAAAAACUAAUACUGAAAACCCCUCUUAGAGAAUAGAAACUCCCAAUUGGCGCUCGUUAGCCAAAUCAUAUGCGCACAUUUGGACAAGUGACUUAUUCCCUCUACAACCAUUUCCAUUAUUCCAUAUGAGUUCUAAAUUGCACUCGAGUUCAAAAAUAUCAAACUCGUUAGUUCGCGAGCUCGAUUAUACAUUUUCUAAUUUUUAUUUUAAUAAUAAAAUUACAUGUAUAUCCAUAAUAUUUUAUUAUUUGUUACAAAAAUUAUUAUUUUAUUCAUUCUUAAAAAUUAAAUAAUUAUUUUUUACUUUUGAAAAAUAAAAUUAUUAUUAUUUUUUAUUUUUUUAAGAUCGAGUUCAAGCUCAAACUUCGUAAAAUUUACUUGAGACUCCCCUUAUUUGCAUCCCUAGUUGGGAACCACAUAACUGAACAAGAAUUUGAAAACUUAUUUGACAACGUCAAUGGAUGUCUAAACUUCUAAACUUCUUUGAGUUUGGGCCCGAUCCCAUCCCGCCAAGAAGGUGCUUGGAAUUCCAGAAUUCACCUAGUGGCCGCGCCUGUCGCAAUAUUUCGUGCAGCAGAGAGUUUUUUUUUUUUUUUUUUUUAAUUGCAACACCGAGUUUAGAAAACCCCAACUUGGGGCUAAGUAAAGCCCGGCUCGCAAGCCCAAUAGAUGCCCUACCAAAAUCCAUCAGUUUUCGAGUUACAAUUCCCCACAUGCAAUUGAACUCCUGGUCAAUUUCGUCUCAAAAAUUUUUCACUAGUGUCAAUUUAGUCCCUAGGAUAGGAGAUAUAUCACCAAUAAUGAGAUGGUUUUUCUUCUUACCACAUUUAUUGCAUUUCAUUGUCAAUUAAGUCUAGGGCCCUUUGGCUACAGCAUAAUUAUAGUUGAACCCGCAAAUGAACCGUGAGGCUCGCGAGCCGAUUAAAGUUCGACUCGAGCUCGGUUAAUACUGAGCUCGAGUCGAGUUCGAGCGGUUCAUUUCUAACACGAGUCGAGUUUGAGUCAUGCUCGUUAGCCGCUCGCGAGCUGUGUGAAAUUACACAAAUACCCCUACUUAACAAGGCAUACCAUCAAAAUUUCCAUCAAUAAUACGGCUAGAAUCAUUGUAGUUUUCAUACUUUUUUGGUCUUUGUAAUGAUGACUUCUAAAAUGGUGUUGUAAUGAUGUAUUGUAAUAAUGACUUCUAAAAUGAUAGGAACCACACUUUUUUGGUCUUUGUAUUUCUCGGUGAAAAUUCUUGCAAAAGACAUCAACAAGGCUAGUUCAUGUCUUUAAAGUUUAUGCUUACUUUCUCCACCACACCAAGACUUUCGGUGAAAGUUCUUGCAAAAGUUUAUGCUUACUUUCAACCUGCAAUUUUGUUAGCAAGCCCAACGGUGUUGAAAAAAAUUACUCUUAUUUGUUGUUUGGAAUUUAGGCACAAGCACAAUAUGGCUAUGUCUCCUCAAGAUGUUUCUUCACAACUAGUUAGAUCGGCGGGUGAUUCUGCUGGAAAUAACAAUGAGGAGGAGCUAGAAUAUUCCGUUAGAGAUGAAGAACUAGGAAGUGAAGAAGAGCGGUUAGAAGGUGAUACACAAGCCCCCGCUCAAACUUCGAAUCAAGAGGUUGGUCAAGGUGAUGAUCUAGAUAAUUUUAGAAGGAAAUUUUAUUACCUAUACCUUGAGACUCUACAUGUUUUUAGGUAAUCUAUAUUGGUUGCUGAAGGACUUAAUCUAGAGUGAUUUUAUUGGUUACUGGAGGACUUAAUCUAGAGUGAUUUCAAACUAUUUGUUCCUUGUUUUUGAGUUUGUUUGAGGUGUUGGACAUUUGAAUUGAAAAAUUGUGAAACAAUUCUGUAUGUGGAGUUGUGGACAUUUGUUUCUGAUUUCGUGCAUGUAUUAUUGGACAAUGAAGAACUUGUUUGUUGUUACUUUUAAUUCAUGUCUGGAAUUGUUAAAAUCAAGUUUACAAGGCAUUGAAUAGCUUAAAAUGUGCUAUUGGAGUCAGGUUAAAUAAAACUAGUUACGUUUAGUGACAGAAAUUUUCGAGCUGAAUUCGAGCCAUUUCGAGCUCUUGUCGAGUUGAGUAGAUCGAGCCUUAUCGAGUCGAACUCGAACCAGCUUCUUACUUAAUCGAGUCGAGCUCGAGUGUAUAGUAAUCGAGCCUGACUCGAUAAGUUCAAUGUUCGGCUCGUUUGCACCUCUACCCGUGACUUUCAAUUCUCAUGCAAUUAUUUUUGCUUUUUUUUACCCUUUUCACCUCCACAAAAAGGAGUGAAUCUUGUCAUAGACUAUUCUUAUUUCUGCAUGUUCACUUUUCAGUAAGUUCCAAGAAGUAUCAUUUGGCGUUUGUAGCAUUUGAUGAUUAACUUUGGGAUCAAUACACAUUGGAUUACACCUUUUGCCUUUAUUUAUAAUCACCUAGUAGUAGUAGUUAAAAAUUGGUUCAAGAAAAAGGCUAAUUGCGGUUGAUUGACAGCUCUUUUGGAAGAUCUUACUACUAAUAAACAGAGAAAGGAAAAAGAGCCCAAAACACAUAACCAAUAAUUGACCAACCAUUAGUAGUUUAGCACCUCUGCUAAUUUGUUUAAUUUCAUGGUAUAUCCCGUAUCCGACCCGCCUUUUUGUUAGAUAAAAUGGGUCCGGAUCUGAGUCGCGGAUCUAUAUACCUACCCGUACCCAGAAAAUAUUGACGGGUCCGGUCCGGGUCCGGGUCCAGACCCGGACCGUUGACAGCCCUACGCAUAAUCCUAGAAGCGAAGAAAUGCUAGUUUCACACAAAGCAGAAGCAGUAACUUCAUGCUAGCCUUUAGAUGACAUUAAACUAGAACUAAGAACUUAGAAAAGCACAAUGUUCAACCUUGAACAUAUUAGGAUGUAAAUGAACCUCAUCAUAUAUACAAGAAAAGAAAGUUUGAUGUCGAUUUCUUUAUUGUGGAUUUAUUAAAAUUGGCAAACAAAACUAAAUUAAAAAACAAGAACAAAGUUUAUUAAAUUGCAUGUUCACUUCUCUUUGAUUUCAACUCUUUUUCUUUUGAAGCUCCCUAAGUGUGACUAUUGGUAUUUUCCACUUGAUUAAAAAAAAAUAAUUUUCUAAUCACGUACGUAAACUUACUAUGAAGUCUUUUGCAUAUCUUAAUCAACAUGCUUCAAGAAACAUAGUAAAAAAAUAAAUUACCAGGAAGUGGAAUCAGAAGUUUUAUUUAAUUUUAAGGAAUCAAAUGCGUUUCAGCCAAAACUUGGUUUUCCACAGAGUUGUUGUCGUUCAUUUAUAAAGUCAAAAGGCAAACCUAGGCUAGAACCAUUCUUCAAGUAAUAGGACCCCCUUGUGAAAUGGAUUUCGGGCCUCACAAGUUUCAAUUCAAGUUGUAUGCAAAUCUAACAACAUCAUGACUUCAAGAAGUGCAAUUACAUCAGCUUUCAUCCCACUCUCUUGCAUCUCACCAAAGAGUUGCAAGGCAUCCUCCCCGCAACCAUACAGACCAUAAGCACUAAUAAUUGCAGUCCAUGAAACAGAAUCCCUCUGUGUCAUCUCCUUGAAAAUCUUAACUGAAUCCUGAAGACAACCACACUUGGCAUACAUACUAAUGAGCGAGUUUUGGAUAUUCAAUUCAGAUAUCAAGCAAGAUUUCAGGACAUAGCCAUGGACUCCACCUGCAUGGCAUGUCGACAAAAGUUUGGUACAGGCAGAAAUCACAGACAAUAAUGUAACACUGUUGGGUUGAAAUCCCUUUUUCUGCAUUUCAUUAAAGAGCUCUAGAGCUUCUUCAGCAGUUUCUUUCUUCCGUGAAUAGCCUGCAAUUAUACAACUCCACAUCACAACAUCCUUUGUAGUUGAUCUUUCAAAAAUAAGCUUUGCAGCCCAAAUUUCUCCGCAUUCUCAAUACAUAUGUAUGAGAGCUGAGCAGAAUCUAAAAUCCCUGUCAAACUCGUGACGAAAAGCAUAUCCGUGGAUCUCUGUUCCACAAUUAACUGAACCAUACUCAGCACAUGCUGGUAAAAUACUAAUUACUGUCACCCUAUUUGGUUUAACUUUUUCAACCUGCAUUGCACGAAAACAAUCCAGUGCCUUGGCAUAGUCAUGAUCUGCCACACAUCCCGUGAUCAUAGCAGUCCAUGAGACUUCAUUUCUAACUUCCAUUCUAUCAAAUACACGAAAAGCAGUCUCCUGAUCAUGACAUCUCCAGUAAAAAUCUACCAAUGCGGUUGACAUGAAAACCGACUUGUCAAAUCUUUCAUCCACUGUAACAAUAGCAUGAAUCAAUCUUCCUAAUCGAAAAUUUUCUGUCUGACUACAAGCUGAUAAAACGCUAGCAAUCAACUCGGGCUUGGGCUCAAAUCCACAAAUAUACAUAUCCUUAAACAUCUUCAUUGAUUCCAACAAAAACCCAUUUUGCAUAUAACAAUUUAUCAUCGAAUUCCAAGAAAUGGUGUCUCUUUGAGGCAUUGUGUCGAACAUUUUGUAUGCACUCUUUGUGUCUGAGAAUUUUGCAUACACAGGGAUGAGAGAAUUCGAAACUGUAGAUUCUGAAUCAAACCCAUUUUUAAAGGCAUAGCAGUGAAAGCUGAAGGCCCAAGGGAUUGUGGGUUUGGGAACUUGCAGUGGCUUUGAUGAUCGACGGCAGUAUAAAGACGCUGCUUUCAUGGUUUGGAAAGAAGGGGUGGACAUGGUCUUUGAAAAGGUUGAUGGCUUUGUCAUAGAGCCCUUUAGCCAAGAAGUCCUUGAUUUGGGGGUGAGCAUCAGCAAUUUAUGAUGUUAUGGGACCUGAUGCUGAAGCUGAAGCUGAGGUGAAACGUCUUAUUAUUUGGUGCAUUUUAUUGGGUCUAAUUUCAUAGCCAUUUUAUACGACGAAAUCCGAGGAAGCCAGACUCAACAAUCCGUGCCCAUAUCGCUUCUUAUUUUAGAGCUUCACUGUGGUCUUUUGUCAGAUACAAAACGUUUUUGCCAAUUGCAGUUAUCACCAUGCAAAUACCACUAAGAUUUUGGUUUGGUGAUUUUUCUUAAUAAUAAUAGCAUAAACACACGUAUGUACUUGGCCCAACUUGUGGGCUAUCUUCUCUUUUUGUAUGAUUAUGACUAAUAUUUACCAAUAGAACCAUAAUUUGCAUAGUCUUAUUAUAUUCUGACCGAAAAUAGCUUGAUUGGUCAAUUUGACAAUGAAUGCAAGAUUUUUUACUAGCUAAUACUAGAUGAAAUCAAAUGAUCAUGUAUAAUAUAUGGUAUUCGUAUUAUUAAGUGAAAUCAAAUAGACACAUACAUAUAUUUAUACUAUUCGUAUUAUUAAACAAAAUCAAAUAGACAUAUAUAUGUAUUUAAACAAAAUAUAUUCACACAUAUUUUUUUAAGGGUUUCCCUCACACACAUAAUUAGUGAGGGAUGGAAAUAUUCAUUUUUUGAAAUGUGAUGGAUGGAGAAAUUUAUUUUGUGAAAUGUGAGAAAUGAAAACAUCAUUUUAUAAAAUGUGAGGGACGAAAAAAUUUGUUUUAUAAAAUGUAGAGGACUAUAGAUUAGAUUAUGUAAAAUAUAAUCUGACAAAUUUACCCUUAAAAAAUGAUUACGUGCCUUGCACGUGAUGGAUUCCAGCCAAAAAAUGAUCGGAACCUAGUUAGGGACUAAAUUUGACCAAUGUGAAUAUGUAAGGGACAUAAAAUUACACUUUUAACAGUGAGGGACGAAAAAAGUCAUUUUACAAAAUGUGAAGGACGUUUUAGACGAUUUUACCUAAAUUUUACAUAGAUUCAACUUUGGGCUUGAACCUUAUAAAAUUCACCUUUGAGCUUCAUAUUAACUAAGCCCUUUAAACUCAUUUUUUACAACUCAAUUUUCUUGAGCAACUGAGUGGGAAAUCUUUAUCUAAAAAAUGCUUGCAUUAACCAGUUUUUUUUUUUUUUUUUAACAUCUUUCAAAUUUCAAGUCCAUCAAAUUCGUAAAUCCUGGGACUUAUCAACAUUCCAGCCAAACCUUAAUGAAAUAAGGGGAAAAUAAGGAACUCUUAUCUGGCCAUCUAGGGGAUUUAACUUAACAAAAUUACCUUUGUGUGUAUACAUAUGGGAAUGAAUCACUUGAAAUCAACGCUUAGCUUUCAGAAGACACAUCUAGGAACCCCACAAAACAGCCAUAUCUUGACUAUAUAGGAAAGUGCAAGAGGGAAUAUAUAGCAAGUGAUUAUGAGAAGGUGGCUGAAAUGAUUGUUGGUUUUAUCUAGAGGUGUCAAAAUGGGUGACUUGGGCGGGUUUGGGUUGGGUAAAAUGGGUAAUGGAUAUAAGUGAGUCAACCCAUUUAUACCCAUUUAAUUAGAUGGAUAUAAAUGGAUAAGUCAAAAAAUAAAUUGGGUAACCCAAUUAUCCAUUUAUAACCCAUUUAUUUUAAUUUUUUGUAAACUCAUUUAAAUUCAUUUUUGCAAACUAAGUUAUCAAUUUAUACCGUUCUUUGUAUCCAUCAUUAGUUUUAAAUAUUUACUUAUAAUGCUCAAUCAGCCUAAUUAACAAUUUUUUUUCAUUUAUACUCUAUGCCGCAAAAUUACAUAUUACUUAAUAAUUGAAUAAUAAUAGUACAAAAAUUUGAACUAAAUACUAUAAAAGUUAAUAUAAAAACUUAAUCCAAAAAUUUUGAACCCCUAACAUUUUUUUCAUAUAUAAAUUUAAAAUUUCGUUUUAGAAAGAUAAAAAAAGAUGUUAAAACUUAUCAUAAAUUGGUAAUGCUGAAAAUGAGCAAGUAAAUAAACUAAGAGAAAAUAAAAUAAUAAAAUAAAACCAACAAAUAAUAAUAAUAAUGAAACAAAGGUAGUUAACAUCGUGACAAAAUGAAAAUUUGAAAAAAAAAAGGGUGGGGAAGAGAAUUCUAAAUGGGUUAAUUAGGUUUGAUAGGUUACCCAAUAAUACCCAUUACUAAGUGGGUAUUAUUGGAUAACCCAUUUAUACCCAUAUACAAAAAUUUAAGAUACCCAUACCCAUCUAUUUAUGAGCGGGUAUGGAUAAAUUUAGUUAAAUGGGUUAGUUUGCCACCUAUAAUUUUAUCAAUCGUGACCAAGUAAUUAUGAUUGGUAGCAUGCUUGUGACUUUUGAUGGUCCAUUUUUUCAGUAUAUAUAAGUCCACUUUAAACCUUAUGAUGGCCAACUGACUUGAAUUCUAUGUUAGUGACUUUUUUAGUACUUUAAUGUGUGACUAAUUAGAUAAAUCAACUUCCACUGAACAGCAGCAGAUUUCAAACCUCUCGGCCGCUACCCUUUUAAAAUUUAGGAAAAAUUAUUUUUCCAAUAGAACUUUUAAUAAAAGUGCUUAAUAUGUGUUUAGUGUCCGUUUGGAUUAGCUGUUUUUUAGGGGUAUUUUUGAAAAAUUUUGCUGUAGCAGGGUUUUUAGAUUAUAUUUUGGGAUAUUUUCAGAAAAUAUUUUGGGAUAUUUAAGAGUAGGAGAGUUUCUAGAAUAUAUUUUGAGAUAUUUUUUAAAAUUUUAAACUAAUUUUUAGAUUACCUUUUAGAGUACUUUUUAAAAAAUUUUUAUUGUAUUUGAAAAACACUCCCAGUCUGGAUACAUUAAUUCAAUAAGUACUUAAUGUAUUGGAUAAUAUAUAAUUUUAAAUUUUUAUAUUUAUUUAUCUCUUUAUUUAGUUGAUAAUAUAGGAUAAAAUGAUUAAAUUAAAUAUUUAUUUUAAAUCACAAACGUACUCUAAAAGUAUCAAAUUUGAGCUUUUGCUAAAAGUGCUUUUAGGACCAAAAGUUCCACUCCUAAUUUUAUGGAAUAAUGUUUACCAAAAUAUACUUUUCUCAAAAGUACUUUUAACACCUAAAAGUAUUCUUUUAACAAAAGCACCGUAGUCCCAAACGGGCCUUAGUCACCUUCACCACAACAAGCUACAAUUUGACAUGAAUCUCUUUCAGAGCUGCUCUAUGGGAUUCGAUUUCUUCAAUUUAAGAUCCAUACCAAUUUCACUUGUAUAUAUAUACAUUGCUAUCCAUGCAUCCUUUCCUAUCUCCAUUUUUUUUUUCUGUAAAUUUUUUCGAGAUAAGCAUUUGUAUAGAGAUGGAGGCGGAUUGACGAAGAGGUUCAUAUCCCUAAAGCAUUUUGAUUCAAUUUUUGUACUUGUAUAUAAAUUGGGCUAAUAAUGUGUACAACACUGGACUAUCAAAGGAAUGUUUAUUUCGCUUGCAAUUCCUGUUAUUGGACAUCUAAAAAGCUUAAAUGUUACAUGAUAAAAAUACAUUAGAAAGAAAGAGAAAGUAGCAUUCUGUAAUAUAUUUUGUUUCAAGGCUCUAUUAUAGAAAUGGUAAGAGCAAUUGCAAAAAGUUUUAACACUUUUAGUCGCAAGAUUAGAAGGAAUAUUAUCAAAAUUCAGGAGGGGUAUCUAUGGAGCAAUUCUAAAAUAUCUAAAAUUUCAUAGGCUAUUCCACAAAUUUUUUUUUUUUAAUAAAAUUGAGAGGUGCAAUUGCACCCCGUGGAAUCAACGUGGCUCCACCAUUCCCUAUAAUUAUCUACUACUACAAACGUGAAAUAUUUUUUGAAAAAGAAUUACUUUCAUAAGAUAAGGCGCCCCAAUAACUAAAUACGGUAAUAUGAGGGUUAGAAGUGUACUUUCACUUUUUACUUUCAUUUUACUCAUUCACGUUACAAUUGGCUCUAGAAAAUGCUAAUUCCACACUUCGUACAAGUUGCAAUACUAAUAGUACAAGCCAUUAGUGCAUCCAAUGUGUUGUGUUAUACUUAGGAUGGUUCUAGUGUAGAUAGGAGUGAGCAAAAUUACUCGCUAAUCCGAAAACUCGUCAUAUCUAAUCCCAAAAUUAGGAUACACGAUUUAUAUUGUUUGAUCUAGUUAAAAGAGAGUCCGGUACCCACUGAGAUGAGAGGCGGAUUAAAAUCACAUAAUGAAAAACCCAAGGUUCACAACCCAACCCGCCCCAUAUAUAUAUUAUUUUUAAAUUUUUAUAUACAUACUAUAAAAUAAUAAUUUAGAGUUAAAUAAGUAAUUCAUUGAACAAAUUGCAUCACAAAUAUGAGAAACUAUAGUUUAUUUACAAGAUUCAUUUGUAAAGGUUACGAUCUUAUGUUUUAUAGAAAAAACUUUAAUUAAUGUGAAACAUAUAUUUAAAAAAAUAUGCCCACUUCUUUCAAACUUUUAUUAAUUUUGAAUUAUUUUAAUUUUUUUCUUUAUCUUUUAUUCUCUUUGCAUGCUUAUUUCUUGGUGGGAGACUUUUUUUGAGAAAAAAAUCUUUAUUAAAUGUUAGAUAAAUGUAUAAAAUAUAAAAUUAAAUUAAUAUAAAUUAUUUUUUAAAAAAGAAAUUAAAUAAUAAGUAAGACGGGACGGACACUCGUUGACUCGAUCCUAUCUCGAUGGAUAUUUUAUAAUCUGGUACUCGCUGAUAUACGGGGCAAGUAAGGAUUAGAAAAUAAUUGACUCGUAAGGUGUACAUCGGAUUAACCAAAUAAUGGACGAAAAGAAAAAAAAAGUCUAUUGUUACUGAAGAGACGAUUUCUGACCAGACGAGUUGCCUCGAGUAGCUGGAGUGAAUUCUUGCAUGGAGAGGUAACUACACCAGGAUCACUUGCUUGGAUUGUUAGAGGCGGGGCUAGGUCCCCCGAUUUUCCUCCGAAAAUUAAGUUAGUUCGGGAUAAUAUACUAGCGUGAGUAAUUUUGAUGAGUUAUAGGCUUUUACCAGAGAUUCCUCCUUUUUUCAGUGAGAGAUUCGGAUGUUUAUAGGGAACAAUUUGAAAGGAAGGAUCAUGGGGUACAGAUCCCUAGAAAUCUGAUUAAGACAGCAUAUCGCCUUGACUUGACCACUCCUGACUUGACCACUUUGGGCCGUAGGUAGUGUGUCAGAAUAGUAAACAAGGUGUCAGAUGUCACAUCCACUACUGUUCGAUUGUCAGACCCUUAAAAAAGAUCUCGGUUAUGGGGUGAGUCGUAAUACUUCUGAGGCGACAUCGGAUACUAGGGUCAUCCCGGUCAUCAAUACGCGAGACAAGGCCGAGGUGACCAUGACUAAUGACCCACUGUUCCGGAUUGGGAAUACGGUCUUGAUUUUUCUGAGACGGAAUGACCAUCCUCACUUAGCCCCCCAAGCCUCGAGAGGGUAUUGAGUGCGUGUUAGCUUGCCGAGACUUUCAUAAAAAAAUAAUCGAAAAUCCCUUGUGCUAUAAUGAUGAUGCGUAGAAUACGAGUAGAUAGGGGUGUACGGAAGACGAUGGGACGGUUGUCAGGCUGGGUGAUGGAACGUGGACUGAUAGAGGACAGGAAGACAGAAGGUCAGGCGACGGUUGCUCAAAGCGACGGUCUCUCAUAAAUGAGGGGGGUGCGUCCUUUUUAGAAGUUCGAUGUACUGUCCCUUGGCUUUCCCACCCUCCUUAUAAAUAGGGGAUCCUUUUUUCACUUUCACCUUUUUCACUCUUUAAUUUUUCACCAUUUGCUGUGAGAGCUUCAGCCAUCAGUGAGUUCCCGAGGUGACGCUAUAGCAGUGAACACCAAACCCCUUCCCAAAGACAGUAAGUUAAUCAUUUCUUCAUAAUAUAUCCCGUAUACAUAGGGAAACGGUGAGGCUGGAAUUCAUCGAGGCAGAAAGGCCCGACCUAUUCGAGGAGGAGACGACCUUUCCAGGCCCCGGGGAGGAGACGGCCAAAGCAUCCAAUGAGGCCGGGACGUCAUAAGAGCAGGGCCAAAAUGAACUCGAGGCGCUCUAUAAUGACGCGUUCGGGACCGAGGUGCCAAGGGACGAGGGCGUGCUUGAACCGGCUACCUUUCCAGAUCUAUUAGCCAUUGACUAUGGCCAAGUCCCCAUGUUCAGCAGCAUUAUGGGUGAAGGGCUGACAGCCGCACUGAUUCGCAAGUAUCCCUUCCGAGAAAAUUACAGUAUCCGCCCACUCCGGCCGGACCAAUCAGUCGAACUCCUCCAGAAGGGUAGGGUGGCUAUCUGCACGGUUGGAGGCCGGGCUCAGAAUACCAACCAUCAGGUUCUUCCGAGACUGUCUCAGAUAUUAAGGGGGUGAGGAUCACUCAACUCAUCCCAAAUGCAGUCCGGGUUCUGGUCGGGUUCAAGAUGCUGUAUCGGUAUCAAGAAAUAGUCCCCAAGUCAAUCUCUUCCGCCGUUGUUAUACCAUCAAAAAUAGUGGAAGCGAGAAGGGGUAGUUCUACUUCGAAAACAGAGUCCUGAAAUUAGUAGUGGAUGCUCCCUUUUCAAUAAAGGAGUUGAAGCACAAUUUUGUGUUCGUUCCGCCCGAGAAUUUUUCGAGAGGGUUCUAGUGGAGGCUCUCUACCCCGACAAAGGAUACCUCUCCAGGGGAUCUAGAAGAUGAGAAUUUUCAGAAACUGAUGGGGUCGGGUUUCAGGAUUAACAGUUGGCGUUUUUCGAAACAAUCCUCGAAGAUGGCGGGAUCAACCGAGUUUUAAUUAGCCCGGAUCAUUCUCCCUUUUUUUUUACUGAGCUUAAGAAACCCCGUACAUCCUCAUUUAUAGUUUUAUUUUUAUUUCUGCUUGAUUUUAAAUAACCUCACAUUUCUCUUGUGCAGUGAUAAGAGUGUUCGACCUUAUCACUUCGGGGUCAACCAUGGUGGCCAAGAGGCAAACAAAAUAGAAAGCCACUGUCCGAGGCAUCUACCCCGCUGAAGAAGAUCACUGCGGCCACUGUGAGCGGCGCCGCUCCGAUACUGAUUUCGGGCGAGACUUCCUGGAUCUCGACCAUUCCAAUGGGGCUGGCGACCCGAGGUGUAAUAAUAGCAUCUCUGUCCCCAGGUCGAGGUGUAACAAUACCUUCCGACGUCCCUGUCUCAGGGUCGUCCUUGUGGAACCUCCACUACGUUAGACCUCAGAAAGUCGGGGAGGAUAAAAGAUAUUUCGGUGCACAAUGGUGCCCGGAGUGGGAUCUUAACGUGAACGACCGCUGCAAGGAUCUCAAGAUCGUCCACGAGCUCCUGGUGUAUUGCGUCCUACCGAGGGACCAUACUUAUGCCAAAAAGUUCACUCCUCCUGAACUGAUGCAAAGAGUCUCGGUAGUCUGGGCCUCUACCACGGCCUUCCUAUCCGAGAUGCCGCAGCGCUAUACCAACCUGUUUGAGCAUUAUCAGCCAUUUUUCGAGCUUCAAAAGAGAGUCUCCGAGCUGGAAGAAAAGUUGAAGGCCACUGAACAAGAACAUGACAAGGCUGUGACCAAGCGGGAGCAAGCCGAGGCCACAAACAACUCCUUGAUUGAGGACGGCUUUUGAAGAAGAAAAAAUAGAAGAACCCAAGAAGAGCAGUUAGCCCAGGAGGCAAUAGAGAAGACAGGCACGUCAACUUUGGAGACCUUUCAUAAAUCCGAAACUUUUCCUCAUGAUUUCGGCGAGUUAACACUGCCAGAUUUUAUGUUUAGAUACACCUCGGCUGUCAACGAUGCGGCACCUUUCCUUUCUGUGGAGCAGCUGGAGUCCCUCAAAAACAAGUCUAGCUAUAACGAAGAUGCCAAGGAAUUUUGUGACUGCAUGGUCAAACGCAUUCAGGCCGGCAAAGACCUGACUGGAGUCCGGAAGAAAUUUAAUCAGUAGCUGUCAGAGUUCGAUCCAAAAGAUGAUGAGCUCGGGGAAAGCGAGGUUGGGAGAGAAAACACUAGCGAGGGAGAGGCUGAGGGUGUUGGAGGCGGCGAGGCAGGGAAUGCUUAGGAGCAUCCUAAACCUCGGCAUUUUUGUAACUUGUAAUAUGAAUCUUCCUUCUAAUGUCAAUGACUUUUUUUUUGCAUUUAGUUUUUCUGUUUUCUUCUUACCCUGUACUUGUCCCCUUAUUUUUUGCUGAACAAGUAAUGCUAAGAAAAAAUAAAUAACUUAAGAACGAGUAACAUAAGCAAUAAGCAAUAGAAACAUGCUUUUCAUGGAUGGUACAAUUUAAGAUUCUCAACAUGUCAAGUUCGGGGCAUUAAGGAGCUAUUUCGAUAAGCCAGUUUACAAUAUCCAUUUUGGCUAGACUCAAUGACGCAAUAUGGUCCCUCCCAUCUGGGAGCUAAUUUGCCUUGAGAUUCAGUUCGACUAACCGAGUGUUUGCGUAGAACUAAAGCUCCCGGAUUAAACCGAAGGUGUCUGACUCGGGCAUUGUAGUAAUUAGCCAAGAUGUUUUUGUACAGCGCUACUUUGGUUGCUGCGGUGUCCCUCUUUUCCUCAAUAAGAUUGAAAUCUAUUCUUCUCUCUUCUUCAUCAAUUUCGGCUGCAAAGGCUGCUAUACGCGGGAUCGGGGUGAUGAAUUCAGCUGGUACCAUUGCCUCGGACCCAUGGGUUAGAGAGAACGUAGUUUCCUGUGUGGCAAAUCUCGGGGUGGUUCAGUAGGACCAUAGCACGCUGGAGAGCUCGUCCACCCAAGACAAUUCGGCUUGAUAUAAUCUGGUUUUCAAACCAUGGAGGAGCGUAUGAUUAAAAUUUUCAACUUGUCCAUUAGUUUGGGGAUGUCCCACCGAGGUAAAAUGUUGUUUGAUCCCCAGAUUCUCGCAUCACACCUUAAAGGGGUUGUCUGCACACUGCUUCCCACUAUCCGAGAUGACGACUCGGGGUAAUUCGAAGCGGCAAACCAUAUUUUUUCAGAAGAACUUCUGGACAAUCAAACUGGUUAUGCUCCUUAAGGGCUUGAUUUUGACUCAUUUUAUGAAAUAAUUUAUUGCCACCACCAGAUAGGUAUGAUUGCCGAUGGCUUUAGCGAAUGAACCGAUUAUAUCCGUCCCCCAUUGCUCAAAUGGCCAUGGCGAUAUGAUAGGAACCAUGAGGUUGGUUGGUCGAUGGUGUUCAGGGGCAUGGUGCUGGUAGGAAGGACAGCUAAGAACUAGGAAUUGGGCAUCUCACCGUAUGGUGGGCCAGAAGUACUCAAAUAGCAGGGCUUUCUUGACCACCAUCCGAUAUCCGACGUGGGCACCACAGAACCCCUCAUGUAUGUGUUGAAGAAUUCUCUCCCCGUCUUCUGCUGGGAUACAUCGCAACCAAGGGUUGAGGUAAGACCUCUUAUACAAGAGGUUGUCUCGUAAAGUGUACCGAGCUGCUUUGCGUUGAAACUUCCUGGCUUUGGCUCGGUCUUCGGGGAGCUCUUCCUGGCCUAAGAACCGAACCAGUGGGCUCAUUCUGAUGUUCCCAGGAUGGAUGGGAUACACGAUUUCUUCUAGAUAGUCUGGUUUGGUUAGAAUUUCAAUGAGGACCGUCUUAUUCAAGGCUGAGAAGGAGGUGGAAGCGAGUCGAGACAAUGCGUUGGCCCGCUUGUUCUGCGAUCGAAAUAUUCUUUGGAUUUCGAAAGAUUCGAAAAGUAUAGUUAGUUGGUGGACCUUGGAGAGGUAACAUUGCAUAGCCUCCUCUCGGGUUUCGUAUUUACCAAGUAUCAGACACACGACGAAUUGGGAAUCACUGUUGACCAGAAUGCGCCGGGCACCGAGCUUGCAAGCUAAUUGUAGGCCGGCGAUGACUGCUUCAUACUCGGUUUCGUUAAUAGAUGCGGUGAAAUCAAACCGAAGGGCGUAUGAACACAGCUCUCAUUGCGGGUUUUCGAGAAGCAACCUACUCCACUACCCUCACUAUUAGACGAGCCGUCUACAUGUAGGAUCCAUCGCUGGGGCUUGGUAGAGUCCGAGGUGAACUUCUUGUCUUCAUUAAAAGUGAGUUCGGUUAGGAAGUCAGCAAGAGCCUGAGUUUUAAUGGCUGUCUGAGACUCAUAGGACAGAUAGUAUUCCCCCAGUUCAAUGGCCCACUUAGUAAGAAGUCCGAAAGCCUCAGUGCGCGAUAAAAUCUGCCUGAGAGGCUGAUCUGUCCUUAAGCAGAUGUGGUGAGUUAGAAAAUACAGUUUCAACCUGCGAGUUGCAUGGAUUAAGGCAAGCAUGAGCUUUUUUGCUUGGGUGUAUCUGGUCUCGAGCCCUCGAAAGACUUGACUAACGUAAUAAACAGGCAUCUGAACACCGUCCUCUCAUAUUAAUACGACACUCACCGCUUUAUCAGUGGCGGACAGGUAUAAAAAUAACUUGUCUCCAAGCCGAGAUGAAGUGAGAGUAGGGAGGUGGUGCAGAUUUUCUUUCAUUUGCUCAAAGGUCUAUUGGCACUCUUCUGUCCAGGAGAAUCGGUCAGCCUUCUUCAACACUUUGAAAAAGGUCAGUGCUUUAGAAGCAGACUGUGACAAGAACAGAUUCAAAGCCGCCAGCUGUCCUGUUAGCCGUUGUACGUCACGGGUACACCGAGGUGAAGACAUUUCUUGAAUUACCUUCACCUUAUCAGGAUUUGCUCCUAUACCCCGGCGCGACACAAGAUACCCUAAGAAUUUUUUCGAUGUAACUCCGAAUACGUUUUUCUUGGGGUUCAACAUCAUCCGAGUGCAACGAAGGACUCCGAGAACCUCUUUCACAUCGGAUAAGAAGGCUAAGAUCUUCUUAUUUUUCAAGAGGAUAUCAUCCACAUAUGCCUCGACAUUCUUGCCUAUUUGAGUUUUGAAGACCUGAUCGACAAAUCGCUGAUACGUUACACCGACAUUCUUUAAUCCGAAAGGCAUUGUGGUGUAGCAAUAUACACCCUCAUUUGUGAAGAAAGCCGUCUUCUCCUGGUCCUCUUCGCUCAUCCCGAUCUGGUGAUAUCCUUUAAAGGCAUCAAAGAAGCAGAAGAUUUCAUAUCCCAUCGCUGAAUCCACUAAGACAUCGACUCUCGAUAAUGGGUAACAAUCUUUGGGACAUGCCUUGUUCAGGUCAGUGAAAUCUACACACAUCCUUUAGGCCCCCGUGUCCUUUUUGACCAUGAUAGGAUUGGAUAACCAGGUUGGGUAUUACACCUCCCUGAUCAUUUUUGUCGACAAGAGUUUAUUCACCUCUUUGUCAACGGCUUUGCUAUGUUCUGGGCCGAAGUACGUUCGCUUUUGCUUAACUGGACAUGCCUGAGGGUCAACAUUCAUCUCAUGCAACAUAAGAUGGUGCGGUACUCCCUUAACCUCCUCGGUAGUCAAGGCGAAGACAUCCAUGUACUCUCUCAGGAGGUCGACCAUCUGGCUUUUGAGAGGUUCGGGUAGGUGGAGGCCGACGAGGAUAGUUUGAUCAGGUUUGGCGGGGUUUAAAGAGAUAUGUUCCACCUCAUCUCCGGUCUCCAGCCUCUUCGGCUUCCUGGUCUGCUGAGGAUAGAUACAAUCGAUUGAAAGGAUGUUCAACCUCCUCCCCUUGGCUCUCAGCUCAGAUGAAGUGAAAGUGGCCUACAAGGUGGUGAGAUAGCAUUUUCGCGCUGGACAGACAUCACUGCUAAGUUCGGCAAUGCCUGCCAGGGUUGAAAAUUUGAAACUCAAAUGCUACGUGGAAUAGACCACAUAUAAAGUACUGAGCGUAGGGCGGCCCACGAGCAGGUUGUAAGGAGAGUCAACCUUAACCACGACAAAGUUGACGAGGAUGGUCCGACAACGGGGUGACGCCCCACAGUGACCAUCAGUGUAACCAUCUCUUCUGGAUGUACAACGUGUCCCCCGAACCCAACAAGAGAGAUUCUAAUGGGGGUCAGCUAUUCUUUGGUCAACUUUAAACUCUCGAAAGUUCGGUAGUACAUAAUAUCAACCGAACUCCUUAGGUCAACGUAUACCUUCUUGACAAUAUAGUUGUUUGUGAGCACCUCAAUCACCAGGGUCUCAUGAUUGUUGGAAGCAGCAGGGACAGUCACUGGGACCGUACAUGAUGACUUCGGAUAGGCGAGAGUUCGGCUCGACUUGAUUUGGAUUAGCCUGUCUGUAGGUCCUCUUUCUGAAGUUUUGACUAUCUCCUCCCGUCGGACCUCCAGUUAUAGUAUUAAUUACCCCCGGUAAUGUUUGGCCAGUAACUUGACCCAUGGCCAGGGGACCCGUCUCGAGGAGGCCUUCUUACCUCCCUAGAAUCCUUAGGAGGUCGACAACUACUUCUCUGUUCCCGCCGAUCAUCUCACCAUUGGUCACUCCGACUAUCGCGAUGGGAGUCAAUGCUGUUAUAACUACCAUCUCGACGGAUGAAUUGUUUCAGGUGCCCCUGUUUGAUGAGGUGCUCUAUUUCCUUUUUGAGGUUAUUGCAGUUUUCAGUCUCGUGUUCAACAUCUCAGUGGUACAAGCAGUAAAGGCUAGAGUUCCUCUUUUCCCUCUUCCUGUACACUUUUUGAGGAGCACGUCUGAGAUUGUUCUGCUCCAUCACGGAGAGUACACGAGUUCGCCUAGCAUUCAAGGGGGUUAGGAUAGAUGACUUUCUCAUGGCUAUCCUGUCGAAAACAUUUCGACGAUUUCGGUUAGGACUCUGGAGACUGUCAUUGGUGCCAGUUUCAUUUCGUCUUGAUUCUUUCUUCCUUCGGGAAUCGAGUCCUGAGCGAGCCACUUGGGCUUCCCUUUAAUGCGGUUCAGGUCUUCGGUCUGUAUGCCUUUUUCGACAUUCUGCUAGAACUCUCGAAGUGUGGGGGGUUAUUUCUUAUGUACUCUGAUGUUGAACACCCCGGCGAUAAGUCCAUUGGUGAAGGCAGCUAUGGUUACCUGCUCAUUAGGGUUAGGUAUCUGCAUGCUUUCAUUUUGAAACCUUUGCACAUAAGAGCAAAGGAACUCUCCCGGAUUCUGCUGUAUAUUUAGCAAGUAAGCCGAGGUCUUUGUCAUCGGCUUGGAAGAUACGAAUCGGUGGAUAAACUUGUCCACCAAUUCUCCGAGGGAGGAUAUACUCCUAGGUUCUAGACUCUAGAACCAUUUUUGAGCAGUCCCUUGUAAGAAUACCGGAAAGGUUCGGAAAAUAACCGAAACUGAGAUGAAAGCAUGAAGGUGAUCCUCCGGGUCACCUCGGCCAUCAUAAGACGAUAUGGUUAGGAGUUUGAAAUUUGGGAGGAGCCUUUCCUCAUUGAUGUCAUCCGUGAAAGGCAGAACCCUCAUAUAGUCCAUCUCUAGCCUUUCGGGGUGCCGAGGUUCUUCCUCGGCUCAUUUUGCCCAGUAGAUCUCGUGAGAACGCCUUGGAGAUGGAUGCGAUCCUAGAGGUAGCCUUAGAUGAGACUCGUUUCGGAGUGCUCUUGAUAGAAUGUCUUCCAUCAGAUUCUUCAUCGGAUGGAAUCUUGGGAGAUUCAUCUGAUUUUCUCUUAGAGAAUUCGACUUUUUGCUUUUCUUACCUCUUAAAGUACCUCCCUAACUCUUCGAAAAUGUUAAGGUUCUCAGCCACAAACUCAGCCAUUCGGGUCAUGGCCUCUUCAUUUGCGAGUUGAGUCUCUUGGGAUCCUUGUCCUUCGGGGACAUUCCCUUGUUGAGCUGCACCACUUGGUUCAGCUCCAAUAGUAAGAACCUUCCUGCUCCUAGAACGCGUAGGCUUCAUUCUUUGAUGUCUUCAUUUCCCACAGACGAUGCCAAUUGAAGAGGCAAUUUCUGACCAGAUGAGUUGCCUCGGGUAGCUGGAAUGAAUUCUUGCCUGAAGAGGUAACUAUACCAAGAUCACCUGCUUGGAUUGUUAGAGGCGGGACUAGGUCCCCCGAUUUUCCUCCAAAAAUUAAGUUAGUUCGGAAUAAUGUACUAGCGUGAGUAAUGUUGAUGAGUUAUAAGCUUUUACCAGAGAUUCCUCCUUUUUCCAGUGGGAGAUUAUGAUAUUUAUAGGGGACAAUUUGGAGGGAAGGACCAUGGGGUCCAGGUCCCUAGAAAUCUGAUUAAGACCACAUAUCACCUUGACUUGACCACUCUGGGCCGUUGGCAGUGUAUUAGAAUAGUGGACAAGGUGUCAGAUGUCGCAUCCAUUAUUGUUCGGUUGUUAGACCCUUAAAUAGGAACUCGGUUACGGGGUGAGUCGUAAUACUUUCGAGGCGACAUCGGAUACUAGAAUCACCUCAGCCAUCAAUACACGAGGCAAGGCCGAGGUGACCAUGACGGAUGAUCCACUGUUCCACACUGGGAAUACAGCCUCGAUUUCCCGAGACGGAAUGACCAUCCUCAGUUACUGUAAGGGGAGAAAAGAACUCUUUCGCUAAUGGGUCCUAUUUCAUUGAUUAUCGUGCAGGAAUGGACUGAAAAAGCUUCAUCUUUUCUUUGAUCAGUAAAGGAGCUUGACAUUUACAGGUACUUGUCCAUUUCCGUCUUCGUCCCGUCUUCGUAAUAUUCAAUUCCGUCUUCGUCCCGAAUAUUCAUUUCUCAUUGACUGCUGAAGCAAGUAACAUGAUGUGGGUCUGUAUAGGAAAAGUAAAACCUUCUAAAUUUUUAAUGGCAUCGAGUUGGACUGAUCUUGGCUAAAAAAAAUGUAUCUUUUUUUUUUUUACACUACACAACACGACAGGUAUAGGGAAAGGGAUACAAGUUCAAGUGAACUAUUCAAAUUGAUGGAAAUUGAAUCACUAUCGGACUAGUGACCUAAGCACUUGUUGAAUUUAAAAGAAAUCAUGUAUUAAGUGAUAAUGAUGGGAGUCAAGGUUCGAAUCCUUGAAAUUCCCCUGACAAAUAAAUUUAAGGCCUUUAUGGUGGCUAAUGGCGGCCAUUGGUUACACCAAAUAUACCUACACUAAUUUUUUUUUGCUAAUUGCUCCAUGUCAGAUUAUCAAUUUGUGUAAAUAGGAUUGGCUAUAGGCUUGUAGCUGAAGUUUAAGGGACUUUUAGUUAAGUGAGUUUGUUAUAGCAAACUCAUGUAAGGGAACUUAGGCAUGGAUAAAGUAUUUCCGAAGCCAAUCUAGAAAUAAAGUAGACAAUGGAAUUUGAAACCCAGAGUGGAAAACUGAUUUUUUUUUUUUUGGUGUUUUAACUCGAGCUCGAUGGCCAUACACAGUGCUCGAGCUUGACUCGACGCAUUGUAUUUCAAGCUCGAGCUCGGCUCGUUGGAGAUCGAGCAGUACUCGAGCUUGAUUACUGAAAUCACUCAUUUAACCUUCACAAAUUUUAUAACGAAGCUGGUUAUGGUCAUAAUUAUUUCAAACAAGCAACCCAAAAAAGUCAUUUGAUUAUUCCUAAAAUAAUAAUUAAAUAUUUGCGUGAGUACUCUUUAGAGCUCGUUGAGCUCAUGAGCACAUAUUAUUCUUGCUCGAGCUCGGUCCUCGAGCUUGGUACUAUUCGACCUCGAGUCGAGUAGCUGACCGAGCUACUCGCGAGCUCGAGUCAAGCUGUUCGAAUGAGUUGCAACCCUAGUUUAACUUGUAAAAAAUAUUUCUCAAGAAUAACAUAGUGCAAAUUAUUGAUCCCAUGUGAGAAGACUAAAAGAAUGGUGAAAAAUGGUGAAGUGCAUUGAAACUUCUAACAAACUCCUUUGAGAAUCUGAACUUUCAGUUCAAAACCCCAAAAUCCUAAUCUCCUAUUUGGCAUAUGUUUGCUUAAGAACUCACUCCCCAUUUUCAUUGUCCAGUUUAGUCCUCUAGAGCCUCUAUGUUGAUGACUAUCAUGACUAUCAGAAUUGUGUACUAGUUUUCUUUCUUAACUAUGACUUUUCUUUUUUCACACUUCACAGUAAUUUAAGCUACAUUUAUAUUUGAGUUUUAUGUUUGGUUAAAAUUUUCAACACUAGUGAUUAAUGCUGCAAAUACUUAGACAAUUGAAGAUUUGGUGUUGUUAACAAAUCCCAGUCCAGGAGCAAAAGUAAAAAAAUCAGGGCAACAUGAUCAACUUCACCAAAGAAGAACUGAAUGCCUAUACUGGCAAUUUUGAAGUCUACUUAGGAGAGGGGAAAAACGGACAAGUCUACAGAGGACAUGUCCCUACCAAUAAUAAUCAUGAGUUGAACGAAAUAUCAAUUGCAGUAAAGCUCUCAAAGAAUCAUGAUUUAGACAGAAUCACCCAAUUUGAGGUAUCCACGUAAUUUACUCACACAUGCAAACUACUAAUACAUAAAGUCUAAAUUCUUUACCCUACAACUUGUCAGAAUGAAAUCGAAUGGAUGCCUCAGUUGAACCAUCCAAAUAUUGUUCAAAUGGUGGGGUUAUGCAGAUCCCCAGAAGGAAUCUAUAUCGUCUACGAAUGGAUUUUAUGUAUAGAGUCCAUUUAUUUGCUGUUUUGGAACUUGUAAUUUCAUUUUCUUGCUUUUAACUCUUUGAUGCAGCUACUAGUAUUUUCUUCCUUCUUCCUUCAAUAGUUACUCUCAAGGGAAUUCUUUUAAGGGACUUGGACUUAUCAUGAUUGUGACGAGAUGCACAUUUAGUAUAAAAAUUAUUCACAAAAAUACAUAUAUUGUGUCUUACAUAAUCAUUCGUUAUUUGUUUUGCAAAAAAUAUAUUUUAAACUCAUUUUAGAAUACAUUGAUAUCCAUUAAUUAAAUAUUUCUAUAGGUCUCAAAUAUCACCAUGUAAAGAAUUGUUAUUCUAAUUUUUUCCCUUAGUUUUAACUAUAGGAUGUUAAUUUGAUAUUUAAAUAAUUACUCUGAAUCUCAAACCACAUCAAUUAUCAGGUAAGCAUACUUUUGUAUGUGCCAUGCAGUUAUAAUCAAAAUUGUAAGAGGAGCUCAUAAAUAUAUUUUAAAAUAUUUAAGGGUCAUGACAUAAUAUUUAAAAAGUUUUAGUUUUCAUAGUCAAUUCUUUUAUAUUUCUUACUUUUGUUCUAAUUCGUACGUAUUCUACUUUUGUUGCCGAAGUCCAAAAAUUCAACUAAUUCAAAUAUCGAUAUCGUACUAUGUCAAACACAAAAGGACAUUAAUAUAAAAUUUAAAUUUGUUUGUGUAUAACCAAUAUCUCUUUAAUUUUCAUGGCUUUAACUAUGAUUGAAAUAUCUUUAUCAACAAGUAAUCUAGUUAUGGAGUAUAAUAUAUUUUGAUUUUUAAGUUUCUUACAUAUUUAUCUCUAAUUUAGAAAUUUUUUUCCUUUUUGUUGUUAUAUUAAACAUUAUUUUAUAUAUCUUAAAGCGUAGAAGUAUUAUGAAUUGUGAAAUUCAAUUGAUGGAUCCAGUUAUUUUGCAAUUCUUGGUCAUUUGUGUCCUUUCUUAUGUUUUCUUAAUUUAAAAAUUUUCUUUGAGGCCGCUUUAACUUGUUUUAUCUCAUCCAACAUGAUUAUAUUUGAGCUUUUUUCCCUUUUUACCUUUUCAUCCUAGUUAUCACGUUAUUUGUACAUUUAUUUUACUGAACUUUUUAUGCAUCAAAUAGCUUGGUUUAGGAUUGGACUUGGAUGGCAUUUGAUCAGUUUUCCGCCCUAUUUAAGUCUUUUGACAUAUGUAAUAUAUGUUUUUUCGGUAUUUAGAGGCUAUUUAUAUUCCCUCGAUGCCAUCUUCAAAUAUUCGACGUGAAUAUUCUAACAUUUUCUAGUUUCUUUCUUAAAGGUGAAAGAGAAGAAAAUAAACUUCAUCUAUUUCUUUUCUUCUUUGAAAAUAUUCACUCCUUUAAUUUGUUCUUCCAAAUUUUUGCCUACCAUCAUCUCCAUCUGUUGUGAUAAUCACGACUAUUGUCAUUUUUUAUGCUUUAUUUUGGUUUUAAUGUUAGAUAAAUCUCCUACUAAUUCUUAUUUUGUUCACGUUUAUUUAGUUUAUAAAUUUGAUUAGGGAUCAACAAAAAUUUAGAAAAAAUAAUAUCCAAUGUCUGAUUGUCUUUAUGUAUAGUUUUAGACAUUGUUUUGAGAACUGGACAAGACCAAUCGAUUCGACCGAUCGAAUCGUGAGCUGUUCAUAACUUUGGUUUGAUUCAUACUUUGGGUUAAUUGGAUUUAAAAAGUGGUACGAAUCAUUCGAACCGUGCGAACCGGCAGUUUUUUUUGUCUAUUAAAUUGAAAAAUAAAAUUUAAAAAAGAAUGGGUUUUCCUUAACCCUAAAGACUAAUUAUUAAAUGUCACAACCACAUACUUUCUUCUCAUUUUUUGCCUCUUAUUAAGUUUGCAUCUCUAUUUUCUAUUUUCCUGACUUCCUUCUAACUCCUAACUUCUUUUUUUUUUUAAGUUGCAAUCUCUAAAUCUCAAAAACGGGAAUUAAAAUUUAAACUCACAAUGUCUAAUUACCAUAGACGUGAAUUUUGUAUAAUUUCUUAAUAUUACGGUAUUUUUUGGGUGGAUUUAAAAUUAUUUUUUUUGGUAGAUACAAUUGAGAUUGAGAUGAAAUUUAUUUGUUUCAACUUAUAAUAAAAAAAAUAUUUGUAAAAAUCCAAGUUCUUUGAAAUAUUAAAUUUUUCAUCAUUUAAAGUCUUAAAUUAAUCCAUUACAUGUCUUAUUUUGUACAUAUAUAUUUAUAUAAAUUAUUUUUUAAAAAAUUCAUUGAACCAGGGUUGAAUCGGUCCAAUCGAUUGAAACUUUAAUCUGAACAUCUUACCGGUUCAAUUAACGGUCUGAGUUUCAAAACAUUGGUUUCAAAUAGCUUUAUAUGCUGGACUUUUGGUAUUCUCAGAGUGAUUUUCUCUAAUUUCAUUUACAAUUGAUUCAAUUUUGUAGGAUGUACUAUUCAUCAUCAUUGAGCUUUAACUUCUUCUUCCUAUGCUAACUUCGUUGCUGUCGAAAUGCUUGUGAUUAUAUUAUAAUUUUAUUGCUAUUUGUAUUGAAGUUUCUAAUAACUGUUUUCUUGUAAAUAACAUGUUAAUCACAGUUUUAAUUGUCUUUCACUGUUUUCAUUGAAUAAGAAUUUGCAUGUAUUCUUUCCAAUGUUGACUAAGUCCAACUUUACAUUUUUACCAAUUUUAUCUAUCCGGAUGAAUGAUCGUCUUAACUCUUGAAAUACAAUAAAAACUUUAUACACUAAUACUCGAUGAAUUAAUUAUUUCUACUAAAUAAUAAUUUUUCUCGAUCUCAACUUGGGAUAAUGAGCUAAAUUAAUAAUUUUAAUAAAAACAAUAAGGUAAUAAUUUUUUUGAAAACCUUACAUAAACUUUGAUCCCAUUCGUAGCAUAAAUUAAUAAUUCACUAAUAUUACAUAUCAUAUCUUUUUAAAAUAUGAGUCAGUUUGUUAUUGUUUGUACACAUAAUAUUGUGAAUCUGAUUCAUUGUAUCAAUUUAAUAAAAUGAAAAUGGACAUUUAUCAUUUAUUGUUUGUGUUUAUAUUAUUGCUAAUCUCAUUCAAUAAUCUUUCUAAAAUGUGAGUCAGUCUGUUAUUGUUUGUGCACAUAAUAUUGUUAAUUUGAUUCAUGGUAUCGAUUUAAUAAAAUGAAGUAGACAUUUAUCAUUUGUUGUUUGUGCAUGUAAUAUUGUUAUUCUCAUUCAUUUAAUAAAAUGAAAGUGGAUAUUUAUCAUUUAUUAGUAUAAUUUAUGCUGUUACAGUUUGUGUACGUAAUAUUGUUAAUUUGAUUCCUUGCAAGCCCUCUUAUACGCAUACGCACGGAAGAACGCACAAAAACAAACCAACACGCACACAAGAAUGUAACUUAGUUUACCUGUAACGAAGGGAUUGAUUCAUUGCGAAUUUCUUUUUUCCUCUCAGGGUUAGGGUUUCCUUUUAGUUCUUUACUUCUUUUGAUUAUCCCUUUGUUAUGAGAAACUAAUGUUCUUCUGCGAGUAUUACUGGGUUCGAAUUGAAAGAAAUACUGAUGGCAUGAUUUAUUACUGAACAGAAGCCCUUUCUUUCCAAAAUUUGACGGAAAUUGUCAUGCUUGGGAUUCUUAUCGGACCCUUGAAACUUCUUAAUGUUGUUAUUAAU
rnacentral:lncRNA from 1 species